rnacentral:lncRNA from 13 species
ACCAAAUAAGCUAAAGUAAAAAAUUAUAAAAAGUAACACAAUAAAAUAACAAUAACAAGGCUACAUCCAGGGGGUACAGUACCAAGUCAGUGUGAGGGGGUACAGGUGAGUUGAGGUAAUUUGUACACGUAGGUAGGGGGUGAAGUGACUGCAUAGAUAAUAAACAGCGAGUAGCAGCGUACAAAACAAAUGGAGGGGGGGUCAAGUUUGAUAGUCAAGUUUGAUCGUCUUCUUUGAUUAAUUGCAGUCUUAUGGCUUGGGGUAGAAGUCUAGGAUACUUUUGGUCCUACACUUGGUGCUCCGGUACCUCUUGCCGUGCAAAAUCAGAGAAAACAGUCUCUGACUUGGGUAAUUGGAGACUCUGACAAUUUUAUGGACUAUUUUCUGACACCGGUCCUGGAUCGCAGGAAGCUUGGCCCCAGUGUUGUACUGGGCCGUAUGCACUACCCUCUGUAGCAUUUUAUGGUCAGAUGCCGAGCAGUUGCCAUACCAGGCGGUGAUGCAACCGGUCAGGAUGCUCUCGAUGGUGCUAUCACGUUUUAAGGUAAGACCCAGAUGCAGACUGUGUCGAAGUAACAAUGUUUAUUACAAGAACAGGGGCAAAUGUACAGGAUGGCAGUCAGGCUCAGGGUCAGGUCAGGCAGAGGUCGGUAAUCCAGAUUACUGAGGAAAAGGUACAGGAGAGUAGACAGGCUCAGGGUCAGGACAGGUAGAAGGGUCAAAGCCGGGAAAAACUAGAAAACAGGAACUAAUACAGGAGCAAGGGGAAAAACGCUGGUAGGUUCUGUGAACAAAACGAACUGGCAACAGACAAACAGAGAACACAGGUAUAAAUACACGGGAUGAUGGUGAAGAUGGGCGACACCUGGAGGCGGGUGGAGACAAGCACAAAGACAGGUGAAACAGAUCAGGGCGUGACAGGUGCAGCUGUCAAACUUUUUGAGGAUCUGGGGACCCAUGCCAAAUCUUUUCAGUCUCCUGAGGGGGAAAAGGUUUUGUCAUGCCCUCUUCAAAACUGGCUUUGUCAUGUAUUGUCAUGUUGUGUCCUGUUCCUGUUCUUUCUCUUCACCCUGUCUCCCUCUGCUGGUCGUAUUAGGUUACCUUUUCUUCCCCUCAUGUAUUGUCAUGUUGUGUCCUGUUCCUGUUCUUUCUCUUCACCCUGUCUCCCUCUGCUGGUCGUAUUAGGUUACCUUUUCUUCCCCUCUUUCCCCCAGCUGUUCCUUGUCUUCUCUAACUACCUCGUUCACCCCUUUUCCCACCUGUUCCCUUUUUCCCUCUGAUUAGGUCUCUAUAUCUCUCUCUGUUUCUGCUUCUGUCUUUGUCGGAUUCUCGUUUGUGUUACUCAUGCCUGAACCAGACUAUCGUCGUGUUUGCUGCAACCUUGUCCUGUCCUGUCGGAAUCUGCCUGUUCAUCUAACCUUGUCCUGUCCUGUCGGAAUCUGCCUGUCCAUCUGAGCCUACGUGUGUUUCGUCAUUAAAGAAACUCUGUUUUGUUAAUUCGCUUUUGGGUCCUCAUUCACGCACCUGACAGGCUUGGUGUGUUUGGACCAUGAUCAUUUGUUGGUGAUGUGGACACCAAGGAACUUGAAAUUCACGACCCGCUCCACUACAGCCUGUUUGGCCCGCCUUUUCCUGCAGUCUACGAUCAGCUCCUUUGUCUUGCUCACAUUGAGGGAGAGGUUGUUGUUUGUCUCUUUCCACCAUACUUCCAGCAUUUUAAAGUAGUCAAAUUAGUCAACUGGGUGGGGAUUCCUAUGGGUUGUAGCCUCGAUGGCGCUGCCCAUGCUGUCACAGACGCUACAAUGGUACAGAUAUGAAGAGGAGUCCUCUAUCCAAGGGUGAAAGUAGAAUUAAUUAUAUGUGCAAACAUGUUUAUGGGCCUGAUCAUAGAAUUACAUAUAGAUUCCCUAUUAAUUCAAUAGGAUUUCUGUGGGCCUAGUUGUAAAUAAUUGUCAUUUAAUUUUUUUUAUGUAUUAACUUUAUUGUGGAAUAAACACAACCAGUUAUGAUGUUUUCAUCUGAUUGUCAAAUAAUCACUUCAAAGGGCUCCUUUACUCGGCUACCUGUGCAAGUUCAUCCACUUGUAAAAUAUUCCCAGCCUCCGAACAGUGGUGAAUGGAAAGAGACACCUGUUACACAGAACACCAAAAAGUGUCAUGAGAUUUGGCGAUUUCCAUUAGGCCAGAACUGUCUGCGAGCGUCUCCGUGUCGGCCACUCAUCUCUGCCUUUGCAAAAUGUCAGUAUUCUCAUCUAACCACAUCACAUUUUGGAUCGUAGGCUAUACCACCCAUUUUCCAGUCCAUUCACUCAUUUUUGCUCAUGUUUUGCCGAUAUGGCCUUCCCCCACUAUUUAUUUUGCCGGGACCAUACCGCCUUACUUGCUCCUUCUUCUAGUGUUUUGACUGGUUCAUGACACUGUUAUUGUUACAGAUUCCCCUGGCUUUGAGUUUUUUAAACUUCAUGCAGCUAACUCCACCCAUCCCUUGGCGGUGACAGAGACUGGGCCAGGGACAUGUGGGUACGC